AAACUUUACAAUGCACGCAAGUGUGAUAAGGGGAUACUUAGUGCUUACGCUUCUGGCGUAGGCUUUUGUCGAACGUAGACAGUUAGGCGAAUAAGUGGUGGGCAAGACCGGUGCCAGCCGCCGCGGUAACACCGGCGCCACAAGUGGUCAUCACGAUUAUUGGGCCUAAAGCGUCCGUAGCUGGUGCGGUGCAUCCCUUGUGAAAUCGUUCGGCUUAACCGAACGGCGCGCAGGGGGCACGGCCGCGCUCGAGACCGGGGGGGGGCAGAAGUAUUCCAUAGGGACCGGUAAAAUAGGAUAAUCUAUGGAGGACUACCGAUGGCGAAGGCAUCUGCCCAGAACGGAUCUGACAGUGAGGGACGAAAGCCAGGGGAGCGAACCGGAUUAGAUACCCGAGUAGUCCUGGCCGUAAACGCUGCGAGCAAGGUGUCGCGCGUCCCAUGUGGACGCGCGGUGUCGAAACGAAGGUGCUAAGCUCGCCGCCUGGGAAGUAUGGUCGCAAGACUGAAACUUUA
rnacentral:rRNA from 1 species